GACGAACGCUGGCGGCGUGCUUAACACAUGCAAGUCGAACGCGCCUGUCCUCUGGGUUUCUGGGGGGUGGGUGAGUGGCGAACGGGUGAGUAACACGUGAGUAACCUGCCCCCUUCUUCGGGAUAACGGUCUGAAAGGGCUGCUAAUACCGGGUAUUCACUGUUCUCCGCAUGGGGUCUGGUGGAAAGGUUUUUUUCUGGUGGGGGAUGGGCUCGCGGCCUAUCAGCUUGUUGGUGGGGUGAUGGCCCACCAAGGCUUUGACGGGUAGCCGGCCUGAGAGGGUGACCGGUCACAUUGGGACUGAGAUACGGCCCAGACUCCUACGGGAGGCAGCAGUGGGGAAUAUUGCACAAUGGGCGCAAGCCUGAUGCAGCGACGCCACGUGAGGGAUGGAGGCCUUCGGGUUGUGAACCUCUUUCGCCCGUGGUCAAGCCGCGACGUGGGUCGUGGUGAGGGUAGUGGGUAAAGAAGCGCCGGCUAACUACGUG
rnacentral:rRNA from 1 species